GUGUUGUCACUUCAGCAACACAUAUACUAACAUUGCAAUGAUACAGAGAAGAUAAGCAUGUACAAGAAUGAAACACAACUUUUUGAAGCAUUUCAUACAUUC